GGCCGGGUUUUAGUAUAUACGAGUUUUUCUGAAAAAAAAAGGAGCAAUAACCUCUUUCUUGUUCGAUCAAGAGGGCGGUCUUGCUCCUUUUUUCUACUUUUUGGAUUUUUUAGAGAAAAGGGGUAUUUUGAAAUUUGGC
rnacentral:misc_RNA from 1 species